GAACGAACGCUGGCGGCAUGCCUACCACAUGCAAGUCGAACGAAGUCUUCGGACUUAGUGGCGCACGGGUGCGUAACGCGUGGGAAUCUGCCCUUGGGUACGGAAUAACUCAGAGAAAUUUGUGCUAAUACCGUAUAAUGUCUUCGGACCAAAGAUUUAUCGCCCAAGGAUGAGCCCGCGUAAGAUUAGCUAGUUGGUGGGGUAAAAGCCUACCAAGGCGACGAUCUUUAGCUGGUCUGAGAGGAUGAUCAGCCACACUGGGACUGAGACACGGCCCAGACUCCUACGGGAGGCAGCAGUGGGGAAUAUUGGACAAUGGGCGAAAGCCUGAUCCAGCAAUGCCGCGUGAGUGAUGAAGGCCCUAGGGUUGUAAAGCUCUUUUACCAGGGAUGAUAAUGACAGUACCUGGAGAAUAAGCUCCGGCUAACUCCGUG
rnacentral:rRNA from 1 species